rnacentral:pre_miRNA from 1 species
GGAGGGAGGCCAGAUCCUGGGCUGGUCCCGGCGCCCUGUGCUCCCGCGCCUGUGCUGUUGGAUUCACACUCCCGGCUGCGCAGCCACCU